rnacentral:lncRNA from 1 species
UCAAUGGCUUCUUUUUCUUCACCAUGCGUGAGGUUGAAGGAGAUGGGGUUGAAGACGAUGACGUGUCAGCACGUCAUUGGCUCCCCCUUUAUUUUAAAACACAAUCGUUAGAUCGGAUGUAAGGCCGAGAUCUGUUAGUGGAUUUUUAAAUCCAAGCCAUUUGAUCAAAUCAAAAGGCCUAGAUCCGGGAAGCCUACCAUACACCCU